CAGUAGCCACGGUAAUACGAAGGGUGCAAGCGUUACUCGGAAUUACUGGGCGUAAAGCGUGCGUAGGUGGUGGUUUAAGUCCGUUGUGAAAGCCCUGGGCUCAACCUGGGAAUUGCAGUGGAUACUGGGUCACUAGAGUGUGGUAGAGGAUAGUGGAAUUUCCGGUGUAGCAGUGAAAUGCGUAGAGAUCGGAAGGAACAUCUGUGGCGAAGGCGACUAUCUGGGCCAACACUGACACUGAGGCGCGAAAGCGUGGGGAGCAAACAGGAUUAGAUACCCGUGUAGUCCCUGUCUCUUAUAU
rnacentral:rRNA from 1 species